UCCUACGGGAGGCAGCAGUGGGGAAUCUUGCACAAUGGAGGAAACUCUGAUGCAGCGACGCCGCGUGAGCGAUGAAGCCCUUCGGGGUGUAAAGCUCUUUCGACAGGAACGAUAAUGACGGUACCUGGAGAAGAAGCUGCGGCUAACUACGUGCCAGCAGCCGCGGUAAUACGUAGGCAGCAAGCGUUGUUCGGAAUUACUGGGCGUAAAGAGUGUGUAGGUGGUGUUCCAAGUUUGUCGUGAAAUCUCCCGGCUUAACUGGGAGGGUGCGGCGAAAACUGGAAUGCUUGAGGAUGGGAGAGGAAAGCGGAAUUCCUGGUGUAGCGGUGAAAUGCGUAGAUAUCAGGAGGAACACCCGUGGUGUAGACAGCUUUCUGGACCAUUUCUGACACUGAGACACGAAAGCGUGGGUAGCAAACAGGAUUAGAUACCCUAGUAGUC
rnacentral:rRNA from 1 species